UUUUUUAACUUAACUAUUUGAUCAUUUCUGCGUUCCCUUCGCAAUUUGUGGAGUCUCUGUCUUUGUAAUUAAAACAAUUCCUGAAAUUUGGAUGUAUGCAUUUGAGAGUGAUUAUUAAAAAGAAAAAAGAUGAGACUCUUUAAAUAUGCUAAAGUCUAAUGCACAUAUUCUCUGAACCUCAUUUGAGUUGUUUUUUUUUUUUUUUUUGGUUUGGUUUUGUGUUACACUCGUAUCUAAAUAAACAAAAUGCAGAAGAAACUUGUUGAACUUCCUAAGGAAGAGAUAUUAAAAUAGAAGGAAGAGCCUGGAAUGUUGCUUUUAAAUGUAAACUCCAUUACAUAUGUAAUGAGAUUGCAACCUAGAGUUAGACAGUACAAGAAUUUUAAGAACUGAUGAUAAAAAUGUGGGGAGGAAAACCAACAUUUUUUUUUUGUUGAUGUUCAUUAUUCAUGUUAUAAGUAUUAAAAUGAUUCAUUCAGUGAUUGAAUUUCAGUUGUUGGAUAAUGAUAUCUGAUAUUUGAAUGGUUGACAUGUAAUAUAUUUAUUUAUUUAAUUAUUUAUUAUUAUUAUUAUUUUUUGGGUAAGCUAUCAACACUGUCAACAAUUGGCGUAUAUCUUCCCACACACCAUUGAUGAAGGCAGGAUAAUCUGGGAAAUGGUUCCAGGUUUCUGUUAUGAAUAUUUAAGAGUAAUCUUAACCUCUUGAAGUGAUUGAGGUAGAUAACUAGAGGUGUUAAAUUGCUAAUAAGGUUGUAAACUUACUAUCUAGUGAACCUACACAACAUAAUGAAUUAAAUCCCCUUUAAAAAAAUGUCAAUAGGACGUCUUUUGAGGGUGAUGGAGACUCUUAUUUGGGUGCUAAAACAUUCCAUCUUGAAUUUCGUAUUUUUUGGGUUAAAAGGUGGUAUUGUAAAUCUUUGGAGGACUUUGUGGAUAGAUUGAGAGAUAGUAGGCCUUUUGAACAGUUGUUCUUGGCCUUUAUACAAUUGUCUAAUGAAAUUUUGUUAUAAAAAAUGUCAAUACUUGUUUAUGCCUUGUGUGGAUUUUCAUGAUAAUUGGUAUGCUGAAAUUGUUUGAAGGUUUGAACAUGACAUGGCCAAUUGACAAUUGGUAUGCUGAAAUUGUAAUUGAGAGAACUUCGUUAACUUCCAUCUCAGGACAUCUUUCUAUGAAGGUAUUUGAACAAUUGACAUCAUUAAAUAAAUGAUGAAGUUAGUAUUGCUGCCCUAAUGUGUAAAAAUUAAAUAAAACAGAGUCAAAAGAACUUAAAUGCUCUAAUAUGAUUUACUUUUCACUUUUCUUGCCACCAAUAUUCAAGUAGUCAACUGUUGGCUUUUUCUUGCCUAAUGAGAAUGUUCGAAUGCUUAAAUGAGACCAGUGAUUUGAUUAGGUAAUUGGAGAUUUUAUUGUUCUAUCUCUGGAGAAAAAGAGGCUUUUAACGACAUCAUAGUACUGCUGACGAGCAGUAAAUGAGCAUCUUUAAAUUCUCUUAGAAAGAAGUAUUGCUUAAAAUUUUACAAAUGAUUACAAGAGGCUUGAUAAGAGAAAAUGAUUAAAUCUUUGAGUGGUAAAAUAGCAACUAUAAACAUUUGUAUAAAAAAUAGCUGCUAGUGAUAUUUUCUUGAGAAUUAUUGAGUUGAGACGUCCUCGUUAGGAGGGGGAGGGUUGAUGGGUGUUAGUUCAAAGCAUUGUGCCCUUUGGUGCAUUAUAGGGGAUCUGCACCUUUUGCCAUUUAUUCAUGUCGGUAACAACAUAUAACUCUGGAAUUUCAAAUUCCAUUUUCCCUACUUUUUAUGUAAAUAUAUGUUGAACUGGUAGAAUAUGAUGAUAGAUUGGAAGAUGCAACAGUAACCCAAUAAAGUGAAAGAUUUGAUAAUAAAAAUCACAGUACUGGAAAUUAACUAAGCAGGUUUUGCUUUGUUUUUUUGUUUUUUCCAUUUUUUUUUUCUCAAUAUGUAAGUUACACGUACGUUCCAAUAGGGGCUUGAACCCUUAACCUCUUCUACUCAAGCUAAGACUUUGGUGGUCAGCUUGUUUGGUCUUGGUUUCUAAACAUAAGUCACCAUCAUUGGUUUGAGAUGUAUUUCUUAUAAGGAGAUGGUUUACUUCUUUCCAUAUCACCAAUUUGUUGUAUUUAUUUAUAUAUUUAGUUUCUUUAAAGUACUUUCAUCUACCAUUCUCUUAAAUCUCAUGUCAAACCAUUACUGUAAUUAUUUUUAAUGUUCUAGAUUGCUCAUAAGAAUUUAGUUGUUUUCUUGAAAAAUUAUUUUGACAUACUAGCGAGUGAGAUCCUUUUUAUGUUUCUUUUCCAACAAUGUUGGUUUGUGAUUUCCAGUCCCACCAGCUAAUUUUACUCAAAACCUGAAAUAAUCUUAUGGUAGUCCCUUCGUGCCAGAACAGAGAGGGCUUUAGUUAAGAAGCAAGUAGAAGACAACAAUACCAGGGUGGUUGUCAGGCAAAUCGUUUAUUUUACAUUAAAUGAGAAGGGUGCUUUUGUGAGGGAAAUACUUCUUGAAGAAUUAGCUAAGAAAGAAAAGUCAGACGCGCCCGAUUCCAUUACAAGAGUAGACGUGUGGAUUAAAGCACAUAAAAGAAAGGAUAAAAGUUAUAUAAAUGAAACAGCCAAGGAAGCAGCGGAACAAAUGGAAGAAUAUACCAGGACCACUCAGAGUACAGGAAUUCAUGAUGAUGCAAUCUAACAUAUAAUGGGUCCUGAACAUCGAGGAAAAGUGAGAGCAUUAGGGUUUGGGGUAACAAUGACAAAAAUAAAUGCCUGGAAUGAUGUUUCUCGAAAAUAUGAUCGGACGAUUGGAGCCUUAAAACAACAGUUACAGCAACAACAAAAAAUACAAUAAAAAAUGCAACAGCAAAUAGAAGCACUGAUGAUAAGUGAACUCCAUAAUCAAUAGCAUGUACAAAAUGCUAACAACCAGUCCUAUGUUCCACCUCAAGCCCCACCUACUGAAGAUGUUGUCUAUAAGAAGUGUGAGUUAUUGCAUUAUAAUGGGACAUGAGUAAUUGUCUCUAAGGGUGAAGUUGAUUCAACAGAUCCUGAUGAUCUUAUAGAUGAUGUUCCUCUUGGUUUUGAAUGUUGGAAAAUAUAUAUCAUUGGAGUCGUUGAACCCAACGUGCCGAUGUACCGAAUUCUUCAAUCAUACAAUACUCUUGAACAUGUGACGGGUGAAACAAUUGCAUGGUCUAGCAGGUUCAUCAAAAUUCAUAAGUCUAAAUUAAUAUUUUUAAAUCUAGAUUUUUUCCCAAUGAUUUGUAUAAUAAUAGGAUUAUCUUUCCUUUUUUUGUUUUGUUCUCUCUCCACACACACACACAUAUAUAUAUUUGUUUAUCUGCUCAUUCACUAGUGUGGAAGUAAUUCAUUACUUUUUUGAGCACGUUUUAAAUUUUUUUUAAUGAUAUAUCAAUAUGAAAAACACUAUUUGGUUUACAUGCAGGGCCGAACGUGGGAUAAGCUUGUAUUUCUGAGUUUUUGCUUAAAUGAUGCUUGAGGUAUCAAUUUUUUUCUCUAUUUACAAGUUCAAGAUUAUCAUCCUUUUUGAUACCUGGAUGUUCUUCUUUUGGGAUACACUAUUUGGUUUACAUGCAGGGCCUGAGAUGAGGUUGCAUUUCUGAGUUUUUGCUUAAAUAAUGCUUGAGGUUCAAGAUUAUCAUCUUAGGGUAUUAGAAUAUCAUGACGGGCACUACAAUGAAGAUAUCAAGACAAGAAAAACACAAGACCAAUUGGGUUGCCUAGAAGAGUGAGCAAUUGCCUUAAUAUUUUGAUUUUUUGUGGGUAUUCAUAUAUGUCAACAAUGAUGGAAUUGUACAUUAAAAUCUUUAAUGAAUACAAAACUUUUUGAAAUUUAUUUGUUUGUGAUU